GAUGAACGCUGGCGGCGUGCCUAAUACAUGCAAGUCGAGCGAACAGAUGAGGAGCUUGCUCCUCUGACGUUAGCGGCGGACGGGUGAGUAACACGUGGAUAACCUACCUAUAAGACUGGGAUAACUUCGGGAAACCGGAGCUAAUACCGGAUAAUAUAUUGAACCGCAUGGUUCAAUAGUGAAAGACGGUUUUGCUGUCACUUAUAGAUGGAUCCGCGCCGCAUUAGCUAGUUGGUAAGGUAACGGCUUACCAAGGCAACGAUGCGUAGCCGACCUGAGAGGGUGAUCGGCCACACUGGAGCUGAGACACGGUCCAGACUACUACGGGAGGCAGCAGUAGGGAAUCUUCCGCAAUGGGCGAAAGCCUGACGGAGCAACGCCGCGUGAGUGAUGAAGGUCUUCGGAUCGUAAAACUCUGUUAUUAGGGAAGAACAAAUGUGUAAGUAACUAUGCACGUCUUGACGGUACCUAAUCAGAAAGCCACGGCUAACUACGUG
rnacentral:rRNA from 1 species